UACGUAGGGGGCAAGCGUUGUCCGGAAUCAUUGGGCGUAAAGCGCGCGUAGGCGGCCCGGUAAGUCCGCUCUGAAAGUCCAGGGCUUAACCCUGGAAAGCGGGUGGAUACUGCCGGGCUAGAAUCCGGAAGAGGCGAGUGGAAUUCCUGGUGUAGCGGUGGAAUGCGCAGAUAUCAGGAGGAACACCGGUGGCGAAGGCGGGUCUCUGGGCCGAUACUGACGCUGAGGAGCGAAAGCGUGGGGAGCGAACAGG
rnacentral:rRNA from 1 species